rnacentral:rRNA from 1 species
UACGGGGGGGGGCAAGCGUUGUUCGGAAUUACUGGGCGUAAAGGGCUCGUAGGCGGCCAACUAAGUCAGACGUGAAAUCCCUCGGCUUAACCGGGGAACUGCGUCUGAUACUGGAUGGCUUGAGUGUGGGAGAGGGAUGCGGAAUUCCAGGUGUAGCGGUGAAAUGCGUAGAUAUCUGGAGGAACACCGGUGGCGAAGGCGGCAUCCUGGACCACGACUGACGCUGAGGAGCGAAAGCCAGGGGAGCAAACGGG